UGGCUCAGGACGAACGCUGGCGGCGUGCUUAACACAUGCAAGUCGAACGAUGAACCACUUCGGUGGGGAUUAGUGGCGAACGGGUGAGUAACACGUGGGCAAUCUGCCCUGCACUCUGGGACAAGCCCUGGAAACGGGGUCUAAUACCGGAUACGACGCGCUCAGGCAUCUGAUGCGCGUGGAAAGCUCCGGCGGUGCAGGAUGAGCCCGCGGCCUAUCAGCUUGUUGGUGAGGUAACGGCUCACCAAGGCGACGACGGGUAGCCGGCCUGAGAGGGCGACCGGCCACACUGGGACUGAGACACGGCCCAGACUCCUACGGGAGGCAGCAGUGGGGAAUAUUGCACAAUGGGCGAAAGCCUGAUGCAGCGACGCCGCGUGAGGGAUGACGGCCUUCGGGUUGUAAACCUCUUUCAGCAGGGAAGAAGCGAAAGUGACGGUACCUGCAGAAGA
rnacentral:rRNA from 1 species